rnacentral:tRNA from 2 species
AGUUAAUGAACUUGAAUAAGUAUAUACUUUGAAAGUAUAAUAUAAACGUAAAAUCGUUUAUUAACUU